AUUGAACGCUGGCGGCAGGCCUAACACAUGCAAGUCGAGCGGAUGAAGGGAGCUUGCUCCUGGAUUCAGCGGCGGACGGGUGAGUAAUGCCUAGGAAUCUGCCUGGUAGUGGGGGAUAACGUCCGGAAACGGGCGCUAAUACCGCAUACGUCCUGCGGGAGAAAGUGGGGGAUCUUCGGACCUCACGCUAUCAGAUGAGCCUAGGUCGGAUUAGCUAGUUGGUGGGGUAAAGGCCUACCAAGGCGACGAUCCGUAACUGGUCUGAGAGGAUGAUCAGUCACACUGGAACUGAGACACGGUCCAGACUCCUGCGGGAGGCAGCAGUGGGGAAUAUUGGACAGUGGGCGAAAACCUGAUCCAGCCAUGCCACGUGUGUGAAGAAGGUCUUCGGAUUGUAAAGCACUUUAAGUUGGGAGGAAGGGCAGUAAGUUAAUACCUUGCUGUUUUGACGUUACCAGCAGAAUAAGCACCGGCUAACUUCGUG
rnacentral:rRNA from 1 species